CUGCAAUAUUAUUUCUGUGACUCAGCAUCUCAAAAGAACCAAUUCCGAAGAAGGGUUGGCAGAUGACCACGCACUGAAAAGAGUGACCUCCUCCUUUGAAGACGUCUCCAAAGGGUUUUUGAUGAUAUUUUGCCCUAUUCCGUGUUUCCUGUACCUGCGUUUCCUGCACAUGUGAUUCCCUGUGCGAAUUCAUCUCACCUGAGUCUCGUUAUUCCCUAUUCACUAGUAUACUUUAUCUGUCAUUCUUUGUCUUUGCCAGUUCGUCUUGACUUCCCAUAGUAAGAGUUCCAGCAAUUGUUAUUUCCUCAUGAUAAUUUAAGACAUUUUCUAUGUUUCUCAAUUCUGCCUUUUGCCUAGUGAUUUGGAUACAUUUGCUGUUUGACAGACUUCCCAUGUA